AGAAUCAACGCUGGCGGCGUGCCUCAGACAUGCAAGUCGAACGAUUAAACUUUCCUUCGGGAAAGAUAUAAAGUGGCGCACGGGUGAGUAACACGUAAGUAAUCUACCUUCGAGUGGGGAAUAACGUCCGGAUACGGACGCUAAUACCGCAUAAUGCAGCGGCAUCGCAAGAUGACAGUUGUUAAAGGAAUUUAUUUCGCUUGAAGAGGAGCUUGCGGCAGAUUAGCUUGUUGGUAAGGUAACGGCUUACCAAGGCUACGAUCUGUAACCGGUCUAAGAGGACGGUCGGUCACACUGACACUGAAUAACGGGUCAGACUCCUACGGAGGCAGCAGUCGGGAAUUUGGGCAAUGGGCGAAAGCCUGACCCAGCAACGCCGCGUGAAGGAUGAAGUAUUUCGGUAUGUAAACUUCGAAAGAAUAAGGAAAGAAUAAAAUGAACGGUAACUAUUUAAUAAAGGUACCGGAUAACUAACGUGCCAGCAAGCCGACGGU
rnacentral:rRNA from 1 species